rnacentral:rRNA from 1 species
UACGUAGGUGGCGAGCGUUGUCCGGAUUUACUGGGUGUAAAGGGCGCGUAGGCGGGACUGCAAGUCAGAUGUGAAAUUUUCCGGCUUAACCGGGAGCGUGCAUUUGAAACUGUAGUUCUUGAGUGAUGGAGAGGCAAGUGGAAUUCCUAGUGUAGCGGUGAAAUGCGUAGAUAUUAGGAGGAACACCAGUGGCGAAGGCGACUUACUGGACUGUAACUGACGCUGAGGCGCGAAAGCGUGGGGAGCAAACAGGAUUAGAUACCCCCGUAGUCCCU